GUAUUUCAGCUAGAAAAUUCUGGUGACCGUUGUUGACAGUGGAUACAGCAAAAUUGAAAUGCUCGAUCCAGACCGAUAUUUUGGUGGGCACAACCUUCAAGAAAUAGAAGCAUUGGUGUUAUUUCAAAUGACAUCACGACUGCCUUAGAUUAAAACUUGAAGGAGGUGACAUUCCCCAGAAAAGUUGUUCACCAUACCAUCCCAUGUUGGGUUGCCCCCCAGUCCAGAUCAACAGUUUGUUGAGGAAAAGCUUGGAAUUCAGUUGAUGCCUAUUCUUGCUGUGAAGAGGAGCAAUCUGAACUGAAGGGGAGAACAGACUCCAAACAAGAGUAGAUGUGAUGACACCAAGAUAGAGCAGCCACAUAUUACCUCGAGAGGUUAACCGGAAUCCAAAUCAACAGAAUAUG